GACUUGAACCCUCACGGUCUAUAAAGCCAACGGAUUUUAAGUCCGUAGCGUUCC
rnacentral:tRNA from 2 species